GGGCGCACGGUGGAUGCCUUGACACUAGGAGUCGAUGAAGGACGGGACUAACGCCGAUAUGCUUCGGGGAGCUGUAAGUAAGCUUUGAUCCGAAGAUUUCCGAAUGGGGAAACCCACCAUACGUAAUGGUAUGGUAUCCUUAUCUGAAUACAUAGGGUAAGGAAGACAGACCCAGGGAACUGAAACAUCUAAGUACCUGGAGGAAGAGAAAGCAAAUGCGAUUUCCUGAGUAGCGGCGAGCGAAACGGAACAUAGCCCAAACCAAGAGGCUUGCCUCUUGGGGUUGUAGGACAUUCUAUACGGAGUUACAAAGGAACGAGGUAGACGAAGCGACCUGGAAAGGUCCGUCGUAGAGGGUAACAACCCCGUAGUCGAAACUUCGUUCUCUCUUGAAUGUAUCCUGAGUACGGCGGAACACGUGAAAUUCCGUCGGAAUCUGGGAGGACCAUCUCCCAAGGCUAAAUACUCCCUAGUGAUCGAUAGUGAACCAGUACCGUGAGGGAAAGGUGAAAAGCACCCCGGAAGGGGAGUGAAAGAGAUCCUGAAACCGUGUGCCUACAAAUAGUCAGAGCCCGUUAACGGGUGAUGGCGUGCCUUUUGUAGAAUGAACCGGCGAGUUACGAUCCCGUGCGAGGUUAAGCUGAAGAGGCGGAGCCGCAGCGAAAGCGAGUCUGAAUAGGGCGUUUAGUACGUGGUCGUAGACCCGAAACCAGGUGAUCUACCCAUGUCCAGGGUGAAGUUCAGGUAACACUGAAUGGAGGCCCGAACCCACGCACGUUGAAAAGUGCGGGGAUGAGGUGUGGGUAGCGGAGAAAUUCCAAUCGAACCUGGAGAUAGCUGGUUCUCCCCGAAAUAGCUUUAGGGCUAGCCUUAAGUGUAAGAGUCUUGGAGGUAGAGCACUGAUUGGACUAGGGGUCCUCAUCGGAUUACCGAAUUCAGUCAAACUCCGAAUGCCAAUGACUUAUCCUUAGGAGUCAGACUGCGAGUGAUAAGAUCCGUAGUCAAAAGGGAAACAGCCCAGACCGCCAGCUAAGGUCCCAAAGUGUGUAUUAAGUGGAAAAGGAUGUGGAGUUGCUUAGACAACUAGGAUGUUGGCUUAGAAGCAGCCACCAUUUAAAGAGUGCGUAAUAGCUCACUAGUCGAGUGACUCUGCGCCGAAAAUGUACCGGGGCUAAAUACACCACCGAAGCUGCGGAUUGAUACCGAAUGGUAUCAGUGGUAGGGGAGCGUUCUAAGGACAGUGAAGUCAGACCGGAAGGACUGGUGGAGUGCUUAGAAGUGAGAAUGCCGGUAUGAGUAGCGAAAGACGGGUGAGAAUCCCGUCCACCGAAUGCCUAAGGUUUCCUGAGGAAGGCUCGUCCGCUCAGGGUUAGUCAGGACCUAAGCCGAGGCCGACAGGCGUAGGCGAUGGACAACAGGUUGAUAUUCCUGUACCACCUCUUUAUCGUUUGAGCAAUGGAGGGACGCAGAAGGAUAGAAGAAGCGUGCGAUUGGUUGUGCACGUCCAAGCAGUUAGGCUGAUAAGUAGGCAAAUCCGCUUAUCGUGAAGGCUGAGCUGUGAUGGGGAAGCUCCUUAUGGAGCGAAGUCUUUGAUUCCCCGCUGCCAAGAAAAGCUUCUAGCGAGAUAAAAGGUGCCUGUACCGCAAACCGACACAGGUAGGCGAGGAGAGAAUCCUAAGGUGUGCGAGAGAACUCUGGUUAAGGAACUCGGCAAAAUGACCCCGUAACUUCGGGAGAAGGGGUGCUUUCUUAACGGAAAGCCGCAGUGAAUAGGCCCAAGCGACUGUUUAGCAAAAACACAGCUCUCUGCGAAGCCGUAAGGCGAAGUAUAGGGGGUGACACCUGCCCGGUGCUGGAAGGUUAAGGAGAGGGGUUAGCGUAAGCGAAGCUCUGAACUGAAGCCCCAGUAAACGGCGGCCGUAACUAUAACGGUCCUAAGGUAGCGAAAUUCCUUGUCGGGUAAGUUCCGACCCGCACGAAAGGUGUAACGAUUUGGGCACUGUCUCAACCAGAGACUCGGUGAAAUUAUAGUACCUGUGAAGAUGCAGGUUACCCGCGACAGGACGGAAAGACCCCGUGGAGCUUUACUGUAGCCUGAUAUUGAAUUUUGGUACAGUUUGUACAGGAUAGGCGGGAGCCUUUGAAACCGGAGCGCUAGCUUCGGUGGAGGCGCUGGUGGGAUACCGCCCUGACUGUAUUGAAAUUCUAACCUACGGGUCUUAUCGACCCGGGAGACAGUGUCAGGUGGGCAGUUUGACUGGGGCGGUCGCCUCCUAAAGUGUAACGGAGGCGCCCAAAGGUUCCCUCAGAAUGGUUGGAAAUCAUUCGUAGAGUGCAAAGGCAUAAGGGAGCUUGACUGCGAGACCUACAAGUCGAGCAGGGACGAAAGUCGGGCUUAGUGAUCCGGUGGUUCCGCAUGGAAGGGCCAUCGCUCAACGGAUAAAAGCUACCCCGGGGAUAACAGGCUUAUCUCCCCCAAGAGUCCACAUCGACGGGGAGGUUUGGCACCUCGAUGUCGGCUCAUCGCAUCCUGGGGCUGUAGUCGGUCCCAAGGGUUGGGCUGUUCGCCCAUUAAAGCGGUACGCGAGCUGGGUUCAGAACGUCGUGAGACAGUUCGGUCCCUAUCCGUCGUGGGCGUAGGAAAUUUGAGAGGAGCUGUCCUUAGUACGAGAGGACCGGGAUGGACGCACCGCUGGUGUACCAGUUGUUCUGCCAAGGGCAUAGCUGGGUAGCUAUGUGCGGAAGGGAUAAGUGCUGAAAGCAUCUAAGCAUGAAGCCCCCCUCAAGAUGAGAUUUCCCAUAGCGUAAGCUAGUAAGAUCCCUGAAAGAUGAUCAGGUUGAUAGGUUCGAGGUGGAAGCAUGGUGACAUGUGGAGCUGACGAAUACUAAUAGAUCGAGGACUUAACCAUAUA
rnacentral:rRNA from 3 species